rnacentral:rRNA from 1 species
AGUGAACGCUGGCGGUAGGCCUAACACAUGCAAGUCGAACGGCAGCACAGUAAGAGCUUGCUCUUACGGGUGGCGAGUGGCGGACGGGUGAGGAAUACAUCGGAAUCUACUUUUUCGUGGGGGAUAACGUAGGGAAACUUACGCUAAUACCGCAUACGACCUACGGGUGAAAGCAGGGGAUCUUCGGACCUUGCGCGAUUGAAUGAGCCGAUGUCGGAUUAGCUAGUUGGCGGGGUAAAGGCCCACCAAGGCGACGAUCCGUAGCUGGUCUGAGAGGAUGAUCAGCCACACUGGAACUGAGACACGGUACAGACACCUACGGGAGGCAGAAGUGGGGAAUAUUGGACAAUGGGCGCAAGCCUGAUCAAGCCAUACCGCGUGGGUGAAGCAGGCCUUCGGGUUGUAAAGCCCUUUUGUUGGGAAAGAAAAGCAGCAGGUUAAUACCCCGCUGUUCUGACGGUACCCAAAGAAUAAGCACCGGCUAACUUCGU